AGUGAACGCUGGCGGUAGGCCUAACACAUGCAAGUCGAACGGCAGCACAGUAAGAGCUUGCUCUUACGGGUGGCGAGUGGCGGACGGGUGAGGAAUACAUCGGAAUCUACUUUUUCGUGGGGGAUAACGUAGGGAAACUUACGCUAAUACCGCAUACGACCUACGGGUGAAAGCAGGGGAUCUUCGGAACUUGCGCGAUUGAAUGAGCCGAUGUCGGAUUAGCUAGUUGGCGGGGUAAAGGCCCACCAAGGCGACGAUCCGUAGCUGGUCUGAGAGGAUGAUCAGCCAAACUGGAACUGAGACACGGUCCAGACUCCUACGGGAGGCAGCAGUGGGGAAUAUUGGACAAUGGGCGAAAGCCUGAUCCAGCCAUACCGCGUGGGUGAAGAAGGCCUUCGGGUUGUAAAGCCCUUUUGUUGGGAAAGAAAAGCAGCAGGUUAAUACCCCGCUGUUCUGACGGUACCCAAAGAAUAAGCACCGGCUAACUUCGU
rnacentral:rRNA from 1 species